rnacentral:rRNA from 1 species
CUACGGGAUGCUGCAGUGGGGGAUAUUGCACAAUGGGCGAAAGCCUGAUGCAGCAACGCCGCGUGAAGGAAGACGGUUUUCGGAUUGUAAACUUCUAUCAGCAGGGAAGAAAAUGACUGUACCUGACUAAGAAGCCCCGGCUAACUACGUGCCAGCAGCCGCGGUAAUACGUAGGGGGCAAGCGUUAUCCGGAAUUACUGGGUGUAAAGGGUACGUAGGCGGCUGAUCAAGUCAGAUGUGAAAGCCCGGAGCUCAACUCCGGGACUGCAUUUGAAACUGGUCGGCUAGAGUGCAGGAGAGGAAAGUGGAAUUCCUAGUGUAGCGGUGAAAUGCGUAGAUAUUAGGAAGAACACCAGUGGCGAAGGCGGCUUUCUGGACUGUAACUGACGCUGAGGUACGAAAGCGUGGGGAGCGAACAGGAUUAGAUACCCUCGUAGUC